rnacentral:rRNA from 1 species
AUACAGGGGGUGCGAGCGUUAAUCGGAAUUACUGGGCGUAAAGAGUACGUAGGCGGUUGCUUAAGUCAGAUGUGAAAGCCCCGGGCUCAACCUGGGAACUGCAUUUGAAAUUGAGUGACUAGAGUUUAAGAGAGGGGAGUAGAAUUCCGGGUGUAGCGGUGAAAUGCGUAGAGAUCCGGAGGAAUACCAGUGGCGAAGGCGGCUCCCUGGCUUAAAACUGACGCUGAGGUACGAAAGCGUGGGUAGCAAACAGGAUUAGAAACCCCAGUAGUCC